CCCUUAGAUGUUCUGGGCCGCACGCGCGCUACACUGAACAGUUCAACAAGUCUUAACCUUGGCCGAUAGGUCUGGGUAAUCUUUGAACGCUGUUCGUGAUUGGGAUAGACCUUUGCAAUUAUGGGUCUUCAACGAGGAAUUCCUAGUAAACGCAAGUCAUCAGCUUGCAUUGAUUACGUCCCUGCCCUUUGUACACACCGCCCGUCGCAGCUACCGAUUGAAUGGUCCGGUGAAAUCUCGGGACGGCGGCUUGGUCGCUUGCGUCCGACUGCUGAAACUUGAUUAAACCAUAUCAUUUAGAGGAAGGUGAAGUCGUAACA
rnacentral:rRNA from 1 species